AUUUCGGCUCUAAAUAUUGUAUUUUUUUCAAGAUUUUUUUAUUAUUUUGAGUUAAUACAUUGUUUUUGGUGGGAAAUUGAAACAGAACAAUAUUUGUACAGAUUUUAUUACAAAUGUCCCAAGGUGAAAAAAUAGGGAUUUUCCAUGAAAAUUUCCAAAUCUUCUGGAUUAUAAACAUAUGUGCGCCUAGGAAUUAAGCAUAGAGUGCAGGGUUAGACGAUUGAAUAUUCUAGUCAGGUAUUUCAUUUGUUAUAACAAACUUUGUAGUUUUUUUGCCAAAAUAUGCACUCUUUGUUUCCUGUUAACAUAAUAAAAUUUGCAUGUUUUCCUGAAUUUGGAGUUAAAUUAAGAUUUAUGUUAAUUAUGACAUCACAUAAAGAAUGCUGACAGGUAAACUUUUAUAAAAAAACAACUUCUGAACUAGAAAUUGCUAUGAUAUAUUGUGAUACAUUGAUUUGACAAUAAAAUCCUAAUUUUAAAAUAAAGCUAGCUACAUGUUUAUACAUUGCAUGUACAGAAUUAUUUUUGUUUUCAGUUAUGUCAUUUCUGUUGAUUUUGCUAAUAAAU
rnacentral:lncRNA from 1 species